AGCGAACGCUGGCGGCAGGCCUAACACAUGCAAGUCGAACGAACCUUUCGGGGUUAGUGGCGGACGGGUGAGUAACACGUGGGAACGUGCCUUUAGGUUCGGAAUAACUCAGGGAAACUUGUGCUAAUACCGAAUGUGCCCUUCGGGGGAAAGAUUAAUCGCCUUUAGAGCGGCCCGCGUCUGAUUAGCUAGUUGGUUGAGGUAAUGGCUCACCAAGGCGACGAUCAGUAGCUGGUCUGAGAGGAUGAUCAGCCACAUUGGGACUGAGACACGGCCCAAACCCCCACGGGGGGGAGGAGGGGGGAAUCUGGCGAAAUGGGGGAAAGCCUGACGCACCCAGGCCGGGGGAAUGAUGAAGGUUUUAGGAUUGUAAAAUUCUUUCCCCGGGGACGAUAAUGACGGUACCCGGAGAAGAAGCCCCGGCUAACUUCGU
rnacentral:rRNA from 1 species